GGAGUAUAUUACAAAGUUAAAUGUGUGUGAUUUAAAGACAACAAUGACAAAUUAUUUAUGUAAUUGUUUUUUUGUAGAUGUCUGUAUGUUUAUUUGGCUAACAACAACAACCAAACUUCAGAUGACCACACAUCAUUUUCUGGUCCAUUCCAGUGUUGUUGGUAAUGCAGAUCGGUCAGAAACUGUCCCAGACACAGAGGAAUGUGGAGGAAUCCUCUUUCAGCAAUAAUGUAUUUACCUGUGCAAAUAAAUAACAGAUUUAUUUUACCCAUAUGUCAAAUAAAUAUAUUUAAUAA